rnacentral:rRNA from 1 species
GAUGAACGCUAGCGGCAGGCUUAACACAUGCAAGUCGAGGGGCAGCGAGUAGAUUGCUUGCAAUCUAUGUCGGCGACCGGCGCACGGGUGCGUAACGCGUAUGCAACCUACCCAUUACAGGGGGAUAACACUGAGAAAUCGGUACUAAUACCCCAUAACAUCCAGGGAGGCAUCUUCUUGGGUUGAAAACUCCGGUGGUAAUGGAUGGGCAUGCGUUGUAUUAGUUAGUUGGUGGGGUAACGGCUCACCAAGACAACGAUACAUAGGGGGACUGAGAGGUUAACCCCCCACAUUGGUACUGAGACACGGACCAAACUCCUACGGGAGGCAGCAGUGAGGAAUAUUGGUCAAUGGACGCAAGUCUAAACCAGCCAUGCCGCGUGCAGGAAGACGGCUCUAUGAGUUGUAAACUGCUUUUGUACGAGGGUAAACGCAGAUACGUGUAUCUGUCUGAAAGUAUCGUACGAAUAAGGAUCGGCUAACUCCGUGCCAGCAGCCGCGGUAAUACGGAGGAUUCAAGCGUUAUCCGGAUUUAUUGGGUUUAAAGGGUGCGUAGGCGGUCGGAUAAGUUAGAGGUGAAAUCCCGAGGCUCAACUUCGGAAUUGCCUCUGAUACUGUUCGGCUAGAGAGUAGUUGCGGUAGGCGGAAUGUAUGGUGUAGCGGUGAAAUGCUUAGAGAUCAUACAGAACACCGAUUGCGAAGGCAGCUUACCAAGCUACUUCUGACGUUGAGGCACGAAAGCGUGGGGAGCAAACAGGAUUAGAUACCCUGGUAGUCCACGCAGUAAACGAUGAUAACUCGUUGUCGGCGAUACAAUGUCGGUGACUAAGCGAAAGCGAUAAGUUAUCCACCUGGGGAGUACGUUCGCAAGAAUGAAACUCAAAGGAAUUGACGGGGGCCCGCACAAGCGGAGGAACAUGUGGUUUAAUUCGAUGAUACGCGAGGAACCUUACCCGGGCUUGAAAGUUAGUGACAGAUCUGGAAACAGGUCUUCCCUUCGGGGCACGAAACUAGGUGCUGCAUGGUUGUCGUCAGCUCGUGCCGUGAGGUGUCGGGUUAAGUCCCAUAACGAGCGCAACCCCUACCGUCAGUUGCCAGCAGGUCAAGCUGGGCACUCUGGCGGGACUGCCGGUGUAAGCCGAGAGGAAGGUGGGGAUGACGUCAAAUCAGCACGGCCCUUACGUCCGGGGCUACACACGUGUUACAAUGGCAGGUACAGAGGGCAGCUACCCAGCGAUGGGAUGCGAAUCUCGAAAGCCUGUCUCAGUUCGGAUUGGAGGCUGAAACCCGCCUCCAUGAAGUUGGAUUCGCUAGUAAUCGCGCAUCAGCCAUGGCGCGGUG